rnacentral:misc_RNA from 1 species
UGAAAGCAAACGGUCGCGUGGUGUUUCUCACCGAGCACACGAAACAGUGCUUUGCGUCGUGGCCCCGCGCGGAUUAUUCUCGUACUUCUUCACACAUCAUCGGUAGGCUCGACCGCUUUUCGGAGUAAAAUCAUUCGAAAAAUUGGCGAUACGAUACGCGAGGUUUCUCAGUCGUCGAAGAAUUGCUAUUGUUGGUGAGAUCAGCCUCGAAGAUGCUGCGGUAUCUCGUUGUUGUGAUUUUUUACGUUGGUGCGUGUCGAGGCGCUGAGUUCGAGGACGCAUUCCAGAAUUGCCACGUAGACGUUCAAGGCUUCGAUGGCUGUGUGAGAGAAGGCUUGAACGCGAUUCGGCCUUUCUUCAAGACCGGAUUGUCCAAGUAUAACGUGGCACCGUUCGAUCCGUUUUUCGCGAAAGAAGUUUCGGUCAGACGGGGCUUGCCUAAUCUCGGAUUUACUCUCACACUGCGAAAUGUAACAGAGAGUGGAUGGUCGAACAGUAAAGUGACGAAAUUCGUCAGUGAUCUUCCAAAUUACAAGGUCGUUUACACUCAGAGCUUUCCUGAAAAAUUUCUCGUUGGCGAAUACGAGUUCGAAGGAUCUAUACUCGGCCCGCGGAUGAAGAACAAAGGAAAAUUUGACUUGGCUUUGUACGAUUACGUGCAGACAACCACCAUAACAAAAGCACCAGGCUCGAAGGUGAAGGUACAAGUGGAAGCUCAAACGACCCGCGAUCUGACGCUGCAUAUUACGAAUUUAUUGUCAGGACGACAGGUCUUGGAGACGAUGCUCGAUCGUAUAAUAAACGGUGCAUGGCAGCCGGGGUUCUUAGUAACCAAGCCGUUGAUAAACGAUUUGGUUUCAAGCGCCUUUACCGAAAUAUUCGGCAAAGCUUUUCAAAAUUUCCCAUUCGAGAAAGUCAUAAGGCCGAAAUCGGGCGUUACUUCGAGAAUUCAAAAAUCUUAAUUCUAGUUUUCAUAACUACUUUUAAGCACCUGGACUCAUGUGACAACCACCGGGGAAACGAGACCUCGAUCGAUCGUGAGGCUGAGAAUUUCCCAAAAGUCUGAAAAAGCUUUUCGACAUUCCGACCGUUCGUUCGUCCCCUGAGCGUGUCAUAUCGAAAGUGCAAACUCUUUCGUACUUUCGUAUUUUAGUUAACUAAUGACGAAUACGAUAGAAAAAAUAUCGUUGAAUUUAUCAUGACGAUUAUCCCGACUCGAUGGAACAGUGCCGAGCAUUUUUGGCUCCCUGAUCUUGUUGGAGGGCUUUCCGAAUCCCAUGAAAAAUUAAAAAAGCAUCAAUUUCAAAGAGCGACGAAUGUUCGAGGGCGAGAUGAAGCAUGAAGACGAAGAUUAACCGGUGCAGCCACACGAACAGUGUUCAAAUUAAAACAAAAUAAUAACGAAGAGUUCGGCAGGAGCGACGUACAUUGUAAAUAAAUCGUAAUAAUAAAUAGUGUAAGUAAUCCGUGAGUGGUUGUCGCAUGAUACAAAUCCGAAGCAGACGAAAAAAACCCACGAACACACACAAGAGGAAAAUGUAAAAUAAAAAAAAAAUGGUACGACCGAAAAAAAAUGUGGGAUUUCAAUCUUUGACAAGCUUUAUUUUAGAGCAUUAUAAAUUUUUAUCUCGCGUGACGUUGCGCCUCGCUGGAGAUGUGUCUCAAGUGCAAGCUAAGAACGAAGAAUCCAGUCGUGAAGAAAAGCCUUUGCUCUGUGUUGGCGGACAGUUGUAGUGGUAAACACAAUACACGCAGUGACGAUUAUAACUCGACAGAGAGUGAUGGUGGAGUCGUCUUCUUACCCGGUCAGGUGCUGGAAGCUAGCCUUGAAACCUUGGAAGGGCAGACGAUCACUCACCCCGCAUUCUUGCAUACCGAUAUUAUGGAGAGGUUUUUCUUCUUCACCUCUUCCACCGAGCCUAAUGCGGAUCCAUGAAGAUCUUCUCUACAGACGAGCACAUGUACAGCUAAUUCG